rnacentral:rRNA from 1 species
UGGGGAAUCUUCCGCAAUGGGCGAAAGCCUGACGGAGCAACGCCGCGUGAGUGAUGACGGCCUUCGGGUUGUAAAACUCUGUGAUCCGGGACGAAAAGGCAGAGUGCGAAGAACAAACUGCAUUGACGGUACCGGAAAAGCAAGCCACGGCUAACUACGUGCCAGCAGCCGCGGUAAUACGUAGGUGGCAAGCGUUGUCCGGAAUUAUUGGGCGUAAAGCGCGCGCAGGCGGCUUCCCAAGUCCCUCUUAAAAGUGCGGGGCUUAACCCCGUGAUGGGAAGGAAACUGGGAAGCUGGAGUAUCGGAGAGGAAAGUGGAGUUCCUAGUGUAGCGGUGAAAUGCGUAGAGAUUAGGAAGAACACCGGUGGCGAAGGCGACUUUCUGGACGAAAACUGACGCUGAGGCGCGAAAGCGUGGGGAGCAAACAGGAUUAGAUACCCUGGUAGUCCACGCCGUAACGAUGGAUACUAGGUGUAGGAGGUAUCGACCCCUUCUGUGCCGGAGUUAACGCAAUAAGUAUCCCGCCUGGGAAGUACGAUCGCAAGAUUA